rnacentral:rRNA from 1 species
UAUCGUGGGGGAACCUGACCGCAAUGCCGCGUGAGUGAAGAAGGCCUUCGGGUUGUAAAGCUCUUUCGGCAGGAACGAAAUGGUACCUGCUAAUACCUCGGACUGAUGACGGUACCUGAAAAAGAACCACCGGCUAACUACUUGCCACCACCCGCGGUAAUACUUAGGGGGCAGGCUUUAAUCGAAAUUACUGGGCGUAAAGCGUGCCCAGGCGGUUUCUUAAAUCAGAUGUGAAAUCCCCGGGCUUAACCUGGGAACUGCGUUUGAAACUGGGAGACUUGAUUGUGGCAAAGGGGGGCGGAAUUCCACGUGUAGCAUUGAAAUUCGUAAAUAUUCGCAAAAACACCAGUGGCAAAGGCGGCUCACUGGCCCGGUACUGACCCUGAGGUGCGAAA